AAAUUUAGGUUAAACAAACCAAGGGCCUUCAAAACCCUAAAUAAGAGCCCCGCCCUCUUAAC
rnacentral:tRNA from 1 species